GGUCUUAUAUUCAAUUAUGAUAUUAGAAUGCAAUUCUAAUGGUGUAAAUUAUAAUACUAAGACUU
rnacentral:tRNA from 1 species